rnacentral:rRNA from 1 species
GUUAAGCGACUAAGCGUACACGGUGGAUGCCCUGGCAGUCAGAGGCGAUGAAGGGCGUGCUAAUCUGCGAUAAGCGCCGGUAAGGUGAUAUGAACCGUUAUAACCGGCGAUACCCGAAUGGGGAAACCCAGUGUGACUCGUCACACUAUCAUUAACUGAAUCCAUAGGUUAAUGAGGCGAACCGGGGGAACUGAAACAUCUAAGUACCCCGAGGAAAAGAAAUCAACCGAGAUUCCCCCAGUAGCGGCGAGCGAACGGGGAGGAGCCCAGAGCCUGAAUCAGCAUGUGUGUUAGUGGAAGCGUCUGGAAAGGCGCGCGAUACAGGGUGACAGCCCCGUACACAAAAGCGCAUGUGCUGUGAGCUCGAUGAGUAGGGCGGGACACGUGGUAUCCUGUCUGAAUAUGGGGGGACCAUCCUCCAAGGCUAAAUACUCCUGACUGACCGAUAGUGAACCAGUACCGUGAGGGAAAGGCGAAAAGAACCCCGGCGAGGGGAGUGAAAAAGAACCUGAAACCGUGUACGUACAAGCAGUGGGAGCCCC